AGCGAACGUUAGCGGCGCGCCUAACACAUGCAAGUCGCACGAGAAACGGAGCAAUCCGCGGUACAGUGGCGCACGGGUGAGUAACACGUGGAUGACCUUCCCUGGAGUGGUGGAUAACCUGCCGAAAGGCGGGCUAAUACAGCAUGGGACCACGACGCUUUGGCGAUGUGGUGAAAGCGGGCCUCUAUAUAUAAGCUCGCGCUCCGGGACGGGUCCGCGUCCCAUCAGCUAGUUGGUGAGGUAACGGCUCACCAAGGCUUCGACGGGUAGCUGGUCUGAGAGGAUGGCCAGCCACACUGGAACUGAGACACGGUCCAGACUCCUACGGGAGGCAGCAGUGGGGAAUCUUGCGCAAUGGGCGAAAGCCUGACGCAGCGACGCCGCGUGGGCGAAGAAGGCCUC
rnacentral:rRNA from 1 species